rnacentral:rRNA from 1 species
AUUGAACGCUGGCGGCGGGCUUAACACAUGCAAGUCGAGCGGAGUGGCGCACGGGUGAGUAAUGUAUAGCUAAUCUGCCCUACACUAGAGGACAACAGUUGGAAACGACUGCUAAUACUCUAUAGUGUAGGAUGAGGCUAUAUUGUAUAAGCUAGUUGGUGAGGUAAUGGCUCACCAAGGCUAUGACGCAUAACUGGUUUGAGAGGAUGAUCAGUCAGACUGUAACUGAGACACCGUCCAGAUUCCUGCGGGAGGCAGCAGUAGGGUAUAUUGCUCAAUGGGGGAAACCCUGAAGCAGCAACGCCGCGUGGAGGAUGACACUUGUCGGAGAGUAAACUCCUUUUGUUAGGGAAGCGGUACCUAGCGAAGAAGCACCGGCUAACUCCGUGCCAGCAGCCGCGGUAAUAC